CUGGUUUCUGAUGAACAAAACAACCAAUCUCCGAGGCGUUCUCAAAAGCCAGUUGAAGUUGAAGGCGUAGGAACCGAUUCAAAGGCCAAGAAAGAUAUAGUACACCAAAGUAAUUGGUAAGGCUAUUAGCAUUCCAAAAAUAACCCUGCAUCCAUUUCACCACCAUAACAUGUGUUAUUUGGGUCCUCUAUAUGUAACAUAUUUGACCAAAAAUUAAUAUAAUGAAUAGGUUUGGAACUUACGCAGUGCUGAGAAUCGUGGGAUGCACAUUGUACUCUUUUGCAAACACAAACGGAACUAUUCCUUGAGGCAACGCAGCCUAUAUAUAAUCAACAUCAUCACCA
rnacentral:lncRNA from 1 species